rnacentral:rRNA from 1 species
GAUCAACGCUGGCGGCGUGCCUAACGCAUGUAAGUCGAACGCAGAGCCUUCGGGCUUUGAGUGGCGAACGGCUGAGGAACACGUACGAACCUGCCGAUCCGUGGGGAAUAACGCGCCGAAAGGCGUGCUAAUACCGCGUACGCUCAUCGCAAGAUGAGGAAAGCCGUAAGGCGCGGAUUGAGGGGCGUGCGGCCCAUCAGGUAGUUGGUGGGGUGAUAGCCUACCAAGCCGAUGACGGGUAGCUGGUCUGUGAGGACGAUCAGCCAGACUGGGACUGCGACACGGCCCAGACACCUACGGGUGGCAGCAGCGAGGAAUCUUCCACAAUGGACGCAAGUCCGAUGGAGCAACGCCGCGUGGAGGACGACGGCCUUCGGGUUGUAAACUCCUUUCGGGAGGGAUGAAACGGACAGUACCUCCAGAAGAAGCCCCGGCUAACUCUGUGCCAGCAGCCGC